rnacentral:rRNA from 1 species
AGUGAACGCUGGCGGUAGGCCUAACACAUGCAAGUCGAACGGCAGCACAGUAAGAGCUUGCUCUUACGGGUGGCGAGUGGCGGACGGGUGAGGAAUACAUCGGAAUCUACUUUUUCGUGGGGGAUAACGUAGGGAAACUUACGCUAAUACCGCAUACGACCUACGGGUGAAAGCAGGGGAUCUUCGGACCUUGCGCGAUUGAAUGAGCCGAUGUCGGAUUAGCUAGUUGGCGGGGUAAAGGCCCACCAAGGCGACGAUCCGUAGCUGGUCUGAGAGGAUGAUCCGCACAACUGCAACUAGAAACCGGUCCUGAGUCGAGCGCGAGGCAGCGGAGAGGAAAGUGAGGCAGUGGGCACAAGCUGGACCCAGCAAUGCGGGGUGGAGGAAGAUGGCCUCAGGGUUGUAAAAGCCUUAGAUAGGGAAAGAAAAGCAGCAGCUCAAGCCCCAGCUGUUCUGACGGUACACAAAGACAAAGCCCCGGCAACCUGCGUGCCAGAAGCCGCGUAAAAAGACAGAAGAGACACGUGGGAAC